rnacentral:lncRNA from 1 species
ACCUCAAAAUUUCACUAGCUUCAAAGAGGGACUUUAGGUUACAAAUCAAUAAGCAAAGGUACUAACUCUAGUACCUUAACAAUCAAUACAAUUGUAGCUAUCCAUUUCCAAACUAUAAACUCUAGCCUAGAAGUUAAACAAACUCUUUAGAAUUGUUCACCAUACAAUAUAAUUAUACUUCUUUAUAAGCAGAAUAUGUUACAAUUAAAGAAUAAUGACUCAAACCUAAAAGAACUUCAUCAGCAUUGUCGUCAGAGUCUGAUUCUUCAAUUGAGCAGCUUGAAUCUCUCAAAGCAUUUCAUGAUGUGAAUGCUAUUUGUCUACAAUAGCAGCAGUGAUACGCUUUACAUAGUAGUGAGGUUGGCCGAAUCCUUUUUAAAUUUUAGCUCCAAAACCUAAAAUAAUUUGGCACCUCUUGAAGAAAACAAAUCCUAAAAGGAUUCUAUUUUCUUUUAUUAAAAGAAUCUUUCGCAUGUUUUUCCUUCUAUGUAAGCAUUUCAUAUAAAUGAUGAAUUCUUGUUGACCAUGAAUUUUUUCAAUUAUUUCCAUACUUCCAGGACACGAAACAAAUCCUUCAUGUAGUCCAACUCGCAAUACGAAUCAUCGUUUGGCUUCUGAUCAACGUCUUUAGGCAAUCUGGUUCUUUCCAUAUUUGACCUGGUUCUUUCAAUAGCUGCUUGACAUAUCUGUAACCUUGAAUAUCAACACAACAGAUAUCUUCAAAAACCUGAUUCUUUGAUAAAAUUUUAUUAAUCAUCAAAACUAAUUUUAGCUCAGCUCAACAUGAUUUAUAGAUGUCUUUAAUUUUAUGGUAUUACCUUUUUGAUAAUGCAGGAAAAAAGUAUUAUUUUCAUUGUACCAAUGCGUUGGUAUAUACUAGAUAGUUUCCUUUACGGCGAUUGUAUAUGUGAAAGUAAUCUAAUAUUACAUCAGAGUCAUCAAUUUCAUUACGUUUUUUGGGAUGCCUUGGUAUUUUUAUGACUAUAAAACUAAUGUUAGUUUACAACUUCUACGAAGAAUAAAUUAGAACUCACCACAAAUAUAUACGCGCAUAUUGUUGAUUGUAUCUUGAAUCUGAUCGAUCCAGAUUGCGACUCUGCGUUUUGCUAAGCCAUGCUAAGUUAGUUCUAUAGUGCAAGAAGGUCUGAGGAUCGCGCUAAGUUGGCACGCUAUCAUAAGAAUAGCACAAGAACGUAUGCUUUGCUGAAACUCGUUAAAUUCUUAUAGUAUCCCUUUUC